rnacentral:RNase_P_RNA from 1 species
ACAGCAGAUCGGUUUGUCGCUGGCCAUCUUGCAAAGGAUGGAAAGAGGAAAGUCCGGGCAACACAGAGCAUCAUACUUCCUAACGGGAAGCUGUUCGCGAGGGCAGAGUAAGGUAACAGAAAAUAACCGCUUCGAUUUAUCGGAGUAAGGGUGAAAAGGUGAGGUAAGAGCUCACCGGUCCUUGUAGCAAUACCGGGAGCCGUACUACUUAUGAGUUGCAAGACCAUGUAUACCGACGCAUGUAGGGCUGCUCGCCCGAUGUCGGGGGGUAGGUCGCUAGAGCCUGUUGGCAACAGCAGGAGUAGACAAAUGACAAGCACUUCGUUUUACGAGGCACAGAACCCGGCUUACAGAUCGGCUGUAUUU